UACGGAGGGUGCAAGCGUUAUCCGGAUUCACUGGGUUUAAAGGGUGCGUAGGUGGGUCUGUAAGUCAGUGGUGAAAUCUCCGAGCUUAACUCGGAAACUGCCAUUGAUACUAUAGGUCUUGAAUCAUCUGGAGGUAAGCGGAAUAUGUCAUGUAGCGGUGAAGAUGCUUAGAUAUGACAUAGAACACCAAUUGCGAAGGCAGCUUACUACGGAUGUAUUGACACUGAGGCACGAAGGCGUGGGGAUCAAACAGG
rnacentral:rRNA from 1 species